rnacentral:tRNA from 1 species
GCCUGGGUGGCUCAGUGGUUGAGCGUCUGCCUCCAGCCCAGAGCAUGAUCCCAGGGUCCCAGGAUCGAGUCCUGCAUCGGGCU